rnacentral:rRNA from 1 species
AUGGGUGACUUCAAUGAGGUACUGUUUGCGGGGGAGAAGGAGGGCGGGCCGGCUCGGGCCCCAGGGUGCAUGGAGGCUUUUCGGAAAACCUUGGAGCAUUGUGAGCUCGAAGACUUGGGCUUCGUUGGUGAUCCAUUCACUUGGAGGAACAAUUGGACGGAGAGGCUGGACAGGGCGGUCGCAAAUGGAAAUUGGAGAUGCUUGUUUCCCCUACAUAAGAUCAUAAAUGGAGACCCCCGUCAUUCGGACCACCGGCCUGUCAUC